UGAGAAACCAAGCUGCCCCUAUAGAGAUACAUAAAAUAUAGGCAAAAGAGUAAGGAGGAGGAAUGAGGUCUAGUAGUGAAGAGAGUGGACUUGGUGACGAGUAAGAUCUUGGAGAUAGUGGUUCCAUUUAAGGAAUCACUUGUAAAUAUUUUAAUUGCUUAGACGAGUUAUUUUAAGCCUUAGAGGCUAAAACUUAUUUGCUUUACAUUGGGUUUGAAUAUUGGU
rnacentral:lncRNA from 1 species